rnacentral:rRNA from 1 species
UACGGUGGGAGCAAGCGUUGUUCGGAUUUACUGGGCGUAAAGGGCGCGUAGGCGGCCACCGCAAGUCGACUGUGAAAUCUCCGGGCUUAACCCGGAAAGGUCAGCCGAUACUGCGGGGCUAGAGUGCAGAAGGGGCAACUGGAAUUCUCGGUGUAGCGGUGAAAUGCGUAGAUAUCGAGAGGAACACCUGCGGCGAAGGCGGGUUGCUGGGCUGACACUGACGCUGAUGCGCGAAAGCUAGGGGAGCGAACGGG